GACAGAGGUGCCGAGCGUUAGGCGGAAUCAUUGGGCGUAAAGCGCGUGUAGGCGGUCCGGUAAGUCCGCUGUGAAAGUCCAGGGCUCAACCCUGGAAAGCGGGUGGAUACUGCCGGGCUAGAAUCCGGAAGAGGCGAGUGGAAUUCCUGGUGUAGCGGUGGAAUGCGCAGAUAUCAGGAGGAACACCAAUAGCGAAGGCAGCUCGCUGGGACGGUAUUGACGCUGAGGCGCGAAAGCGUGGGGAGCAAACAGG
rnacentral:rRNA from 1 species